rnacentral:lncRNA from 1 species
UGACAAUCAUUGUUUAUUCUGUUCCAAAGGGACGUAGCAGGCCAUUUCCUCACAUGACCUUUCAUUGGCCCUAAUAUUCAGGCCCAUAUGGAGGAAAGGCAAACAGCCACAGAAAAUCAUGUGGCUACUUCACAUUUAGUCUCAUGAGUGUUCACUGGCAUGAUUAAACAAUACAUCUACACUCUCAGCUAGGGAAAACCUGUUUCCUUUAUAUUUGCUGCUAUAUAUAUUUAAUAACUAUUAAUCACUAUAUACGAGGUACAAGUACAAGCAAAUGAACUGAACUAUAUUUUCCUUGAGAAGGAAGGGAUUGAAAACUACCAACAACUGUGCUAAAGUAUUACAAAGUUCCUCUAAUCGAGCCAUCAAAAGGAGUGUCCUUUAUUUAUGGCAUACAUUAUUUGGAAUCUAAUUGGAUUUUUAAUGUGGUGGUUGGGGCAGGGGUCUGUGUUUAGUUUUUUCUUUUUCCCUUUUUUUUUCCUUUUAGACUGGAUGAGGGGCACACAGUGAGAAGCUGGCUUCAUGGGAGGAGAAAUCUAUCAAAUGGAAAAUGAACAAAUACAAAACCCUCUGUUUCUGUCCAAUGUCUAUAACCACAGCAUGAUAAGACAGGGAAGGGUCAUCUGACUAUGUGGUUGAUUUCUCCAAUAUUCCUCACUGAUUUCCUCUUUUUGUAUAAUCUCUUGCUAUUACGAUAAAACGGCACCAGAUCAUGUUGAGAUGAAUCAUCCAUCUCCUUAAAUGUCUAUUUAGGAGUUAACAGAAGUUACCAGAAGUAACUCUGGUUGAAAGCUCAUCUACUUAUAGCCCUCGUUCGUUAUGAAAAUUCUUGAAACCUCAACCAAAGCCUAUCUUCAGACAAGACCACAACACACUGCCAGGAAACGCCUUUUCAGCGGAGGGGACUCACACAAAGGCAGUUUUCUCUUCUUUUGUUCUGGGAGGAAAAGGGGCAUUUGGCCACUCAGAAUGAGAGUUCAGACAGACUCUCCUGGGGAACAAGUGUUUUGCCUACGAAUUGCCUGGGUAGCUCUGAGCUGGGGAAGUGAGCAAGCUCCUCUGAGUUCCUUCUCCUUAUACAGGUUAAAAAAGUACAGAAGUGGAGAGAAGGAAACCAGUGAGACACAGCCCAGGACCAAGGAGCACUCUCUGGGAAGUCCAGACAGGCAGCAGGACCUGUCUAUCAUCGGAGGAGUACAUCACACUCUCUUUCUCUCUGCACAUCUCUGGGUGUGCCCUCUGUACUGAUAUGGAGAAGUCACGUUCGUGAGAAAAGCUCAAGCAGAACCCAAAAGCUGGCUGGCCUCUGUGCCUUUGGUCAUCAGGUGAGGAGCUAAUCCUUCAUGGUACUAACCCAAUGAUGUGCAGCAGGAAAUGAAGCUCUGCCUCCAUCACAAACUCUGCCUCCUACAUAACAGCAGCAAAACCCUAAUACAAUAAAUGGCACCGCCAUCUACCCA